rnacentral:misc_RNA from 1 species
GGACAGUGUGCAUAUGACUCUAACUAAUAUUGAAUUGUGCGUAGUGAUGGUAGCAUUUUUUUUUCCUUUUACCCAUGCUCACACAAAUUAUAUUGAACUAGCCACAAUAGUUAUAUCAUUUGCAGUAAUUAUGAAGUUUUUGUUAUUGGAAGUCAACUAACCCUAUAUAUAUGUCCUUACUAUUUUCCUAAAUGGGUAGCUCAAUCUUAGGGAUUGUUUUCCUAAAUAGCUAGAAAUAAUUGUAUAUAAAUUUUUAUCAAUUAUACUUG